rnacentral:rRNA from 1 species
GUGGGGAAUAUUGGACAAUGGGCGAAAGCCUGAUCCAGCCAUGCCGCGUGUGUGAAGAAGGUCUUCGGAUUGUAAAGCACUUUAAGUUGGGAGGAAGGGUAGUAACCUAAUACGUUGCUACUUUGACGUUACCGACAGAAUAAGCACCGGCUAACUUCGUGCCAGCAGCCGCGGUAAUACGAAGGGUGCAAGCGUUAAUCGGAAUUACUGGGCGUAAAGCGCGCGUAGGUGGUUUUGUAAGUUGGAGGUGAAAUCCCCGGGCUCAACCUGGGAACUGCCUCAAAAACUGCAUGACUAGAGUACGGUAGAGGGUAGUGGAAUUUCCUGUGUAGCGGUGAAAUGCGUAGAUAUAGGAAGGAACACCAGUGGCGAAGGCGACUACCUGGACUGAUACUGACACUGAGGUGCGAAAGCGUGGGGAGCAAACAGGAUUAGAUACCCCUGUAGUCC